CACGUAGGGCGCAAGCGUUGUCCGGAAUUAUUGGGCGUAAAGAGCUCGUAGGCGGUCUGUUGCGUCCGCUGUGAAAACCCGGGGCUCAACCCCGGGCCUGCAGUCGAUACGGGCAGACUAGAGUGUGGUAGGGGAGACUGGAAUUCCUGGUGUAGCGGUGGAAUGCGCAGAUAUCAGGAGGAACACCGGUGGCGAAGGCGGGUCUCUGGGCCAUAACUGACGCUGAGGAGCGAAAGCGUGGGGAGCGAACAGG
rnacentral:rRNA from 1 species